GAUGAACGCUGGCGGCGUGCUUAACACAUGCAAGUCGAACGGUGAACACGGAGCUUGCUCUGUGGGAUCAGUGGCGAACGGGUGAGUAACACGUGAGCAACCUGCCCCUGACUCUGGGAUAAGCGCUGGAAACGGCGUCUAAUACUGGAUAUGUGACGUGACCGCAUGGUCUGCGUUUGGAAAGAUUUUUCGGUUGGGGAUGGGCUCGCGGCCUAUCAGCUUGUUGGUGAGGUAAUGGCUCACCAAGGCGUCGACGGGUAGCCGGCCUGAGAGGGUGACCGGCCACACUGGGACUGAGACACGGCCCAGACUCCUACGGGAGGCAGCAGUGGGGAAUAUUGCACAAUGGGCGCAAGCCUGAUGCAGCAACGCCGCGUGAGGGAUGACGGCCUUCGGGUUGUAAACCUCUUUUAGCAGUGAAGAAGCGAAAGUGACGGUACCUGCAGAAGAAGCGCCGGCUAACUACGUG
rnacentral:rRNA from 1 species